GUAGGUAACACGUGCCAGCUACCGUCAGCAGAGAGGAGUGUAUGUGGUGACCACGAGUCCAGACCUGAGGGUCCUGAUCCUCUAAUGCGGCCUCUCACCAGUGUACACAGAAACCCACCCACUGAUUCCAUACGGGGACCAGGAACCUGCCGUGAGAGUCACGACUCAGUCUGCCUGCACCCACAUGAUUAAAAAGCUUUGUUGCUCACACAAAGCCUGUUUGGUGGUCUCUUCACAUGGAUGCACAUAACAUUUGGUGCCGAAGACCUGGGACAGGGGGACUCCUUUGGGAGACUGGUCCCCUGUCCUCGCUCUCACUCCAUGAGAAGAUCCACCUACGACCUCAGUUCCUCAGACCAGCCCAAGGAACAUCUCACCAAUUUCAAAUUGGGUUUCCCUCUUGUCUGGAGGAAAAAGAAAAAAGGGAACCAGACUUAGACACAACUUUUUGUGGGCACAUAUUCAGAAGGCGUCUCACUGGAGAGGGUUUAGUUCUUCUUAGCAGAAGAUAAGAUUUCAAGAUUUCAGCCAAGACUCAUCUCUCUGCAAAUCUUUCUUUUGAGAGCAUCUUCACCAGGAGGAGAUUCCAUCUCAAGAGACCACUUUCACGGCUCAUCCGUAAGAAGCAACUCUUCAUCUGUUCAAGUUUGAUCAUGAGAGUGCGGCAAUUCAGUCACAACUUCAGGCUCCACUUCUAGUUCUAGUUCUCUUGCUGUUUCCACCACAUCUACAGCGACUUCCUCCACUGAAGACAUGAACCCCUGAAAGUCAUCUGUGGGGGUUGGAAUCAAUGUCUUUCACACUCCUGUUAAUGUUGGUAUUUUGACCUCCUCCCAUGAAUUACAAAUAUUCCUAAUGGCAUCUAGAAUAAUGACUACUUUCCAGAAGUUUUUCAAUUUGCUUUGCUCAGAUCCAUCAAUGGAAUCACUAUCAAUGGUAGCUAUAUAAACU